AACCUCUGAGAACUUGUGGGUUUUAAUUUUAUGCUUUUU
rnacentral:tRNA from 1 species